UAUAUGGGAAUGAGUUAUUACCCAAUUUCAAGGAUUCAUUCCCUUAUUUGUAUUCCUAUUCCUAUAAUCCAAACAUUAACAAUGGGAAUCAAUGAUUCCCAUUCCCAUUCCCCACUCCUAUUACCCUAAUAAACCAAACGCCCCCAAGAAUAAGCUAGGGAUUGAGGGGACUUAGCAUGCUUAUUGUAUUGGUUAAGCUCAGUUGAUCGUUAUUUUGAUUCUAUUUUACUUAGUAGCCUUUGGAUUUGAGUCAAGUUGGGAUAUUUCUUAAUUUACAUGAGAGUUGACCUCGCUCUUGGAGCAGCACAAAAAAGUGUCUGUCUAGUUAUCUCUCACAGAAUCAGAAUUGCUGCUUUGGGUUCUUACCUAUGUCAGAGCUUUCCACUUCAUGCUUUCAAUAGAGGCUAGCUCCAGUUGUAUCUUGAGGCAUAGAAUUUGAUUAACCUAGAUGAAAGACUAAGAUUUUUUUCCCUAGGAGAAAAUCACUUGUUUUAUUUUGUUUUUCCUCUGCCAACUUGUUGUUUUUUUUUCUUUAGUUUUUAAUUGCUGUAUGAUAUAUCUUUUGAACAGAAUUGUAUUUUUCUUUGUUGUAUCUAUCUAACAUUAAGCACAUGACUUUUGCUUUUCUUCUUUGCCUCUCUAAGUGAAACCGUGUUUAGAGAUUGAGCAGGUGGGAAAGAACAGUUAGCUUGUUUUCUACUUGAUACUUGAAAAAUAAAAUAGAUAGUGAAAAUGUGUUCUCAACUGGGAUCGACAGGCACAUGUGAUAUUUAUUUUUUAGUUUCCUUUUAUUUUCUUGCUUCCCUUAGGAAAUUUCUUACUUUAUUUAUUGAAAUAUAUCAUAGUUUGGUAACGGUUCACCAUUAGGCAGACACUAUUGUAAACUUUUAUUAUUAAGUUUAUGUCUGUAGGAAUUGAUGGAUAUCACAACGAAGUAAUCAUGGUAAUCUUAUGUUGCACCGGACAUUUUUUUCUUCUCCCUUUCUAUUGAAACUGUUGCUCUUUCAGAGAUUUAUAUGAACUGAUUUUUUAUAUGAUUUGAUUUGGGGUGUAAAAGGUGGCAAAAAUGGGUGAUUCAGUGGAUUGAUGUCGCACUGGAUUCAGGAGAAUAUGCCCUCGUUUCGAGUCAUUAAAUAGGGGUUCUCCUCAUGACGGUCACAAAUCCCUACUGAAAGAAACAACUGUGAUCUAGUUCUCGACUUAGUAUUUGCUUGCAGUGAGCAAAAAAUACCUAACGGCUAAAUUGGUGGUUUAAUAUCCGCUGAUGGAAACAGUUUGGAUCUCUCAAAAUUGUAGCUUUUGUAAGUUACUGAAAGUGUUUACCAUGCCAUCAAACAGUGAUUGAAAAUGAUUUAGAGGUCCAUGAUAUGAAAUCAAUGGUCUGAUCUAUAGCUAUUUUUCCCUACUAGUUGGGUUAGCUACAUGGAACGGAUUUCACCAUUGAGCUAAAGUAUAUAGCUAUUUGCAAGACUUAUCUAGAGGCUCUGGAACAUGGAUCUCAAGAUCACUUUAGGAUCUAACGAGGCAGGUACGCAACAGUUUUCUGAAAUGAACUAACAGAAUUGCUAUAAACGUUGGAGAGUUGAACUGUUGAACGCCUUUCAGUCACCUGAGUUUCGUUGUUCUUCAUCCUAUUUAAUUGAUUUUUGGUUAAUUUUAAAUUUUAUAUUUGUAAUAAAUAACAAACGCCGUUGGCUGUUAAUUGACAAUAUAAUCACGCUUUAUUCAAGUGAUA